CCUACGGGUGGCUGCAGUGAGGAAUAUUGGUCAAUGGGCGCAAGCCUGAACCAGCCAAGUCGCGUGAGGGAAGACGGCCCUACGGGUUGUAAACCUCUUUUGCCGGGGAGCAAGCCUGAGCACGUGUGCCCAGGCGGAGAGUACCCGGAGAAAAAGCAUCGGCUAACUCCGUGCCAGCAGCCGCGGUAAUACGGAGGAUCCGAGCGUUAUCCGGAUUUAUUGGGUUUAAAGGGAGCGUAGGUGGAUUGUUAAGUCAGUUGUGAAAGUUUGCGGCUCAACCGUAAAAUUGCAGUUGAAACUGGCAGUCUUGAGUACAGUAGAGGUGGGCGGAAUUCGUGGUGUAGCGGUGAAAUGCUUAGAUAUCACGAAGAACUCCGAUUGCGAAGGCAGCUCACUGGACUGCAACUGACACUGAGGCUCGAAAGUGUGGGUAUCAAACAGGAUUAGAUACCCCGGUAGUC
rnacentral:rRNA from 1 species